rnacentral:rRNA from 1 species
CACAAUGUAAGGGACUGCACCCUGAUCAGCCAUGCCGCGUGAAGGAUGACGGCCCUCUGGGUUGUAAACUGCUUUUAUAAGGGAAAAAACCCCCCCAUCGGUGGGGGUUUGCCGUGACCUUAGGAAUAAGGACCGGCUAACUCCGUGCCAGCAGCCGCGGAAAUACGGAGGGGCCGAGCGUUAUCCGGAAUCUUUGGGUUUAAGGGGGCCGUAGGCGGUUAGGUAAGUCAGGGGUGAAAGGUUGGGCUUCAACUGAGAAAUGGCCUUUGAUACUGGGGGUCUGGAAAUAUGGGGGGGUUGUCGAAUUGUGUGGGGUGGCGGGGAAAUGAUUAGAUAUCACAUGAAACACCAAUGGGAAAGGCAGGUGACCAACUAUCGAUUGACGUUGAUGGACAAAAGCGUGGGAAGCGAACGGAAUUAAAUACCCGGGAAGCCCACGCCCUAAACAAUGUAAACUAGAUGUGGGAUUUUCAUUGCCUCCGUGCCAAAGAAAAAGAAAAAAUUAUCCCCCCGGGAGGGCACUACCCAGAAGUUAAAACUAAAAGAAUUUGAGGG